CCUACGGGCGGCAGCAGUGAGGAAUAUUGGUCAAUGGACGGAAGUCUGAACCAGCCAUGCCGCGUGCAGGAAGACGGCUCUAUGAGUUGUAAACUGCUUUUGUACAAGGGAAAACCUGAAUACGUGUAUUCAGCUGAACGUACUGUACGAAUAAGGAUCGGCUAACUCCGUGCCAGCAGCCGCGGUAAUACGGAGGAUCCAAGCGUUAUCCGGGUUUAUUGGGUUUAAAGGGUGCGUAGGCGGAUUGAUAAGUUAGAGGUGAAAUGUCCGAGCUUAACUCGGGAACGGCCUCUAAUACUGUUGAUCGAGAGAGUAGAUGCGGUAGGCGGAAUGUAUGGUGUAGCGGUGAAAUGCUUAGAGAUCAUACAGAACACCGAUUGCGAAGGCAGCUUACCAAGCUAUAUCUGACGUUGAGGCACGAAAGCGUGGGGAGCAAACAGGAUUAGAUACCCUGGUAGUC
rnacentral:rRNA from 1 species